UACAGAGGUGGCAAGCGUUGUUCGGAAUUACUGGGCGUAAAGGGCGCGUAGGCGGCCAUCUAAGUCAGACGUGAAAUCCCCCGGCUUAACCUGGGAACUGCGUCUGAUACUGGAAGGCUUGAGUAUGGGAGAGGGAUGUAGAAUUCCAGGUGUAGCGGUGAAAUGCGUAGAUAUUGGGAGGAACACCGGUGGCGAAGGCGGCCACCUGGGCCGGAACUGACGCUGAGGCGCGAAAGCGUGGGGAGCAAACGGG
rnacentral:rRNA from 1 species